rnacentral:rRNA from 1 species
GAUGAACGCUGGCGGCGUGCCUCAUACAUGCAAGUCGAGCGAACAGACGAGGAGCUUGCUCCUCUGACGUUAGCGGCGGACGGGUGAGUAACACGUGGAUAACCUACCUAUAAGACUGGGAUAACUUCGGGAAACCGGAGCUAAUACCGGAUAAUAUCUUGAACCGCAUGGUUCAAUAGUGAAAGACGGUUUUGCUGUCACUUAUAGAUGGAUCCGCGCCGCAUUAGCUAGUUGGUAAGGUAACGGCUUACCAAGGCAACGAUGCGUAGCCGACCUGAGAGGGGGAUCGGCCACACUGGAACUGAGACACGGUCCAGACUCCUACGGGAGGCAGCAGUAGGGAAUCUCCCGCAAUGGGCGAAAGCCUGACGGAGCAACGCCGCGUGAGUGAUGAAGGUCUUCGGAUCGUAAAACUCUGUUAUUAGGGAAGAACAAAUGUGUAAGUAACUAUGCACGUCUUGACGGUACCUAAUCAGAAGACCACGGCUAACUACGUG